GGACCUGACCGCGGACACCCCUGCCGAGGGAGGGAGGCCUCGGGAUGACAGGCGCGCCGUCUCCCCUCACCUCUGCACACACUCCACCCAUCCACGGCCCCACCCCAGAUCCCGCGCCGCUCUGAGGUCCCCACCCCUGGGACGAGGGGAAGUGGGACUAAAACGUCUACAGCCCCACCCGGCUCCCGCGGCUACCAGUGACCCAGAAGGUGCAACUGACCAAACGCAGCGACUCAACCGACUGUGCUCUCCCCAGACUCGCAGCUAUGGCAACUUGAACUAGCCGCCCAGCCACAGCAAGAGUACAGGACCCCGCUGCCGCCGCUUGGCCCUCUGGGAGUUGUAGUCCAUCUCGGCCUCAUGAUCAAGGAAUUACCAAGGGAGAGAGUCCCGAAAAGGAACUGCAAAUCCCAGGAUGCCAUAUAGCUGGCCUUCGGGUAACUUUCCCGGAUAAAAGCCUGAUCCCUUGGCCGCGCCCUCUUGCCCUGCUCUAUUUUUUUUUUUUGUUAAAGGACCAGCCUCCUUUGUAGGAGGCAAACUCCAGUUAGAAAGUGAAUAAAAAUGCUUCCUUGGCCUUGACUGUAAUUUUACUCCUUGGGGGACAAAAGGAGUCCCCCAGGACUACGGCAUCAAAGGAGGAUGUUACUUCAAAUGUAGCCUGCAUUGUUCUUGGUGACUGUCCAGCACAAGUGAUGACCACCUACAUCAUUGGAUUUUGCUUUGUUCCCUCUAGCCAACACAGAUGGUCAAGCUCCCCUAUA
rnacentral:lncRNA from 1 species